AUUGAACGCUGGCGGCAUGCCUUACACAUGCAAGUCGAACGGUAACGCGGGGCAACCUGGCGACGAGUGGCGAACGGGUGAGUAAUGCAUCGGAACGUGCCCAUUAGUGGGGGAGUAGCCCGGCGAAGACCGGAUUAAUACCGCAUACGACCUACGGGUGGAAGACAGGGAGUCGCAAGACCUUGCGCUAUUGGAGCGGCCGAUGUCAGAUUAGGUUGUUGGUGGGGUAAAGACCACCAAGCCGACGAUCUGUAGCUGGUCUGAGAGGACGACCAGCCACACUGGGACUGAGACACGGCCC
rnacentral:rRNA from 1 species